UACGUAGGGGCGCGAGCGUUGUCCGGAAUUAUUGGGCGUAAAGAGCUCGUAGGCGGCCUGUUGCGUCCGCUGUGAAAUCCCAGGGCUCAACCCUGGGCGUGCAGUGGAUACGGGCAGGCUGGAGGCAGGCAGGGGAGAACGGAAUUCCCGGUGUAGCGGUGAAAUGCUUAGAUAUAGACAAGUAGAACACCAAUUGCGAAGGCAGCUUACUACACAACGAUUGACG
rnacentral:rRNA from 1 species